AUUGGGACUGAGAUACGGCCCAGACUCCUACGGGAGGCAGCAGUGGGGAAUAUUGCACAAUGGGCGCAAGCCUGAUGCAGCGACGCCGCGUGCGGGAUGACGGCCUUCGGGUUGUAAACCGCUUUUGACUGGGAGCAAGCCCUUCGGGGUGAGUGUACCUUUCGAAUAAGCACCGGCUAACUACGUGCCAGCAGCCGCGGUAAUACGUAGGGUGCAAGCGUUAUCCGGAAUUAUUGGGCGUAAAGGGCUCGUAGGCGGUUCGUCGCGUCCGGUGUGAAAGUCCAUCGCUUAACGGUGGAUCCGCGCCGGGUACGGGCGGGCUUGAGUGCGGUAGGGGAGACUGGAAUUCCCGGUGUAACGGUGGAAUGUGUAGAUAUCGGGAAGAACACCAAUGGCGAAGGCAGGUCUCUGGGCCGUCACUGACGCUGAGGAGCGAAAGCGUGGGGAGCGAACAGGAUUAGAUACCCUGGUAGUCCACGCCGUAAACGGUGGAUGCUGGAUGUGGGGACCAUUCCACGGUCUCCGUGUCGGAGCCAACGCGUUAAGCAUCCCGCCUGGGGAGUACGGCCGCAAGGCUAAAACUCAAAGAAAUUGACGGGGGCCCGCACAAGCGGCGGAGCAUGCGGAUUAAUUCGAUGCAACGCGAAGAACCUUACCUGGGCUUGACAUGUUCCCGACAGCCGCAGAGAUACGGUCUCCCUUCGGGGCGGGUUCACAGGUGGUGCAUGGUCGUCGUCAGCUCGUGUCGUGAGAUGUUGGGUUAAGUCCCGCAACGAGCGCAACCCUCGCCCUGUGUUGCCAGCACGUCGUGGUGGGAACUCACGGGGGACCGCCGGGGUCAACUCGGAGGAAGGUGGGGAUGACGUCAGAUCAUCAUGCCCCUUACGUCCAGGGCUUCACGCAUGCUACAAUGGCCGGUACAACGGGAUGCGACACCGCGAGGUGGAGCGGAUCCCUUAAAACCGGUCUCAGUUCGGAUUGGAGUCUGCAACCCGACUCCAUGAAGGCGGAGUCGCUAGUAAUCGCGGAUCAGCAACGCCGCGGUGAAUGCGUUCCCGGGCCUUGUACACACCGCCCGUCAAGUCAUGAAAGUGGGUAGCACCCGAAGCCGGUGGCCCAACCUUUUGGGGGGAGCCGUCUAAGGUGAGACUCGUGAUUGGGACUAAGUCGUAACAAGGUAGCCGUACCGGAAGGUGCGGCUG
rnacentral:rRNA from 1 species